CUUAAAUUUAUUAGAUUUUUCAAAAUCUUCACAAAGUUUGGCAAAUAGUAUAGAAGAAAAAAGUAAAAAGAGUAAUCAAAACAGUGUGAGAUCCAUUGCUUAUUUUUCUAGCAAAAAUUCCAAGGAAACAUUGCCAAAAAAUGAUAAAGAAGCUGAUAGUUAUAAAUCAAUUUAUAGCCUACAUAAAAUACAUGAUGAACCGAAAAAAAAUAAUAAAUUAACCAGAGAAGAUAUAUUAGAAAAAGUAAAAGAAUCAAUGAAAAAAAUAGAAUCUUUGAAAGGAAACGAAUAUAUGAAAGAAAAAGAUUCUAUUUAUGAUAUGAUUGAUAGUGUAUGUGAUGUUAUGGUGCCAGAAGGUAGAGCAAAGCUUUUAAAUAUUAAUGAAGAUUAUGGGUAUAUCUUACUUGAGGACGGCACACAUAAUUUUUAUCCUCUCGAAAUGAUAAAAUUAAAUCCAGGCUAUGUAAAAAAAAAUCCAUUGUUUAAUCUUAAUUACAGCUACAAAGAUAUCAUGCUCAACCACACAAAAAAUAUGACGGAACUAAAAUUUAAAAAUGUAUAUAAUAAUAAUGAUACAUUAAAGAAUAAUGCAAACGAAAUGAAAGUUGAUGAUAAAUUCCUUAAUUUUUCUAACAAAUUGAGCCAUUUGAAAGAUUACAUAAUAAAAAAUGAAGCAAAUGACAAUACAAGAAAUGUAGAUAACUAUUUGGUUCGUGAAGAUUUGAAUAAAGACCAAGUCAAAGAUGUUGAACUUGAUAAAAACGAUUUACAAAAAAAUCAAUAUCUGCUUAAAAAGAGUGUAAAACUUAAUCAAUUAAAUAAUGUUUACAAAAUAGAAGGCGUAACACCAUAUAUCCCCCUUGGUCCCAUAAAUGAGGUUGAUGCAAAAAAUUGUGGUUGUAAACUAAUUUAAAAUGAAUAAUUUUUAUUAAUAUAAAACCAAAUUGUUUUGCUUUUCACAAUGAAAGUUGGUUAUUUGUGAAAUAUUAUUUAUACUUAAGGUAAUAGCAUGUGGCUUUAUUUUAUUAACAAUUGUUUAUGUCUCUCUCUCCCUCUAUAUAUACAUAUAUAUAUAUAUAAAUUUAUAUUGUUUAUUAAACACUUUUUAUAUGUUUCCUUUUUCCUACAUGUUAUAAUUCUGUUAAAUAUUGUCUGCUAUACGGUCUAAUAAGCCUUUUCAAUCGUUUGUGUGGAUAUAAUUUUGUUUUAUUGUAUUGGAACUUAAGUAAACACAAGGCGUGUUUUUAUAUAAUACAAGUUAUACUGCGCACGUAUUAAAAUGUUAUAUAAUUAAAAAGGGCUCAUAUCUUUUUUAGUACGUUGUAAUUUUAUUAAUUAUUAGAUGUGAUGAGUGAUAAUAAAA
rnacentral:lncRNA from 1 species